UGGGGAAUAUUGGACAAUGGGGGCAACCCUGAUCCAGCAAUGCCGCGUGUGUGAAGAAGGUUUUCGGAUUGUAAAGCACUUUCGGCGGGGACGAUGAUGACGGUACCCGCAGAAGAAGCCCCGGCUAACUUCGUGCCAGCAGCCGCGGUAAUACGAAGGGGGCUAGCGUUGCUCGGAAUGACUGGGCGUAAAGGGCGUGUAGGCGGUUUGUACAGUCAGAUGUGAAAUCCCCGGGCUUAACCUGGGAGCUGCAUUUGAGACGUGCAGACUAGAGUGUGAGAGAGGGUUGUGGAAUUCCCAGUGUAGAGGUGAAAUUCGUAGAUAUUGGGAAGAACACCGGUGGCGAAGGCGGCAACCUGGCUCAUUACUGACGCUGAGGCGCGAAAGCGUGGGGAGCAAACAGGAUUAGAUACCCUGGUAGUCCACGCUGUAAACGAUGUGUGCUGGAUGUUGGGUAACUUAGUUAUUCAGUGUCGUAGCUAACGCGAUAAGCACACCGCCUGGGGAGUACGGCCGCAAGGUUGAAAC
rnacentral:rRNA from 1 species